UCUCUCUACCAUGCUCCUUUGCGGUUCCCAUAAUUCCCAGUUUAGUUAAAUUCCCCACUGGGAAUUGUGGGAACCGCUAGGGAGCAUGGUAGAGAG